UGCCCAAGCCCAGGGUGCUGGAAUCUGCUCCAGGGUUUGGACUCUGGUUGAGAGAUCUGGGGGGCUGGUUCAGAGAAGCCGGGGCUGACUCCGUUGAAUGCUGCGGGGGAGCGGGGAUUCUGUCUGGGUGUCGGCAAACCCUCCGGGAGGGGGAAGACAGAACAGCUCGAGGAGGAAGAUUUGAAUUGAUUACCCAUUUGCACCCGCCGGUUCUAGAGUUUGUUAACAGUACGUGUGUCUUUCCAUUUAUGUAUGGCGACUCCAUGUACUACAACUGCAUCUCCCUCCACAGCGAUUAUGACUGGUGCUCACUCGACAAGAAAUUCCAAGGCAGAUGGCGGUACUGCACGGGGAAAGAUCCCCCCAAGUGUGCCUUCCCCUUCCUCUACAGAAAAAAGCUCUUUUAUGAAUGCACCAAGAAUGGCUAUGUUUUGAAUCGGAGUUGGUGCUCAUUGACAAAAAAUUAUAACCAAGAUGGGAAAUGGAAGCAGUGCUCUCC